UGGUGUGACUGAUCCUUUGACCUGCGGUGUGUUGGCUAUUCACAGUGAGGCUACUUAGUUUGACUGCAUGUUCCCUUAGUCCCUAGCCAUUCAGGUUCUUGCUAUGUAUAUUGGCUAUUGUAGGUUCAGAUUCACUGUUUAGAAGUAGGAUGCACCUAGAUAGAAUCUAUCAACCUUGGUAGAAAAGGAGAAGUCCUAUGCGAUUCGUAAGACUGAGUUCAGAAAAUCUCUAACCACAGUAAGAGUGA
rnacentral:lncRNA from 1 species